rnacentral:lncRNA from 1 species
GGAUUUCUGAGUUCGAGGCCAGCCCGGUCUACAAAGUGAGUUCCAGGACAGCCAGGGCUAUACAGAGAAACCCUGUCUCGAAAAACCAAAAAAAAAAAAAAAAAAAAAGAAAGAAAAAGAAAAAAAAAAAAAGAAAGGAAACUUAAAUCUAGAAGUUUACACCUCCUAAAAUAUACUGAUAAUAAAUACUGAUUCCAUGACUAGAGAUACUAUUUGUAGUCAGAAGAUCUUACAACUGUGGGGCUUGAGAGAUGGCUCAGUGGUUAAGAAUGCUUGCAGCUCUUAAAGAGGCUCUGAUUUCAGUUCUGAGAACCCAAGUUGGGUGGCUCCCAACUGUAACCUCAGCCCCAGGAAAUCAGACACUCUGUUCUGGACCCCAAGAGCACCUGCACACAUACCUACCGGUACCUGCAUACAUACACAUUUUAAAAUUACAAUUUUUAAAAGGACAUCUUGAACAAGAAGGCCUUAAACGUGUGUCAUUCCCCUGGUCAGUGAAGAAGCAGAAAGAGGAAAAUGUGUACUUCCAUGGAGGAUCCCACUUUAAAAUUACCUGUUCCAUGCUGGACUGUUGCAGAGAAUAUUUAAUUGCAAUCUGGAGCCUCUACCGGCCUUGGGUCAUUCGGUUCCCCGAUAAAAGACACACAACUUAUAUUAUUUACAAUAGCCUUAGUCAGCACUAGAGCUGGGCAGCGAUAUCUACCCUCUAAGGUAUUAGAAUCUACUUUCCUAUCUGUAACCCGAGUUAUUACUCAUUAUGUUUCAUCUGGGCUGCUCUUAACCCCAACUGGCCAGCCCUCAUGGCCAUGCUUUCUUGGCUCCUAACACAUAGUGUCUUUCUUUUCUUCCACCUUCUUCUCCCUCUCCUGGUGGCUUCCUCAGGUUCCAAGGCUGGGAACACCAAGCUCCACCUAUCUCAAUUCUGCUCAGCUAUCAGCCGUAGACAUCUUUAUUUGCCAAUCAGAAAUAACUUGAGGGCAAGGUCACAUACAGUCAUUUGUGUCUACUGUAGAUGCUCUCAUCUCUGGGGAAAACAGACCUUGGGGGCCCGCACUUAGCAUUACAAUACCUAGCAACAACCAAAGGUCAACACUGGACUGCAGUGAGCACGCACCAGGUGCAGCUAACUCUGUAGGCCUGACAUGGUUGGACAUCACCUGCUUUAUGGCCAAGGUAAGAAAGUGUUAGUUCCAGCAACUCAAGGGGCUGGGCCCAGGAUUCUGUAGAACUAAGGCAGCAUGGGUGGCUAAUAGAAGGACAGGCCCUCAGGGGGACAAAAUCAAAACCAAAUAAAACAAAAUCUUAUGACAAAAUGACUGCAGGUGCAAUAAACAGCCCAGUACUCCCUGGUGAGGGGGCAACCAUGGCAACAGCAUCAAUCAGCUGUAAAGAGUGGAUACCUGGUGCUCUUGACUGUUUUCUGUUCACAAGUGUUGAUGCAAAACAACAACAGACUUUGCUCUCACCUCAAAGUGAAAUAGUUUAUUCUGGAGCAAAAUAUGAAACUAUGGGCGUGGCCCAGGAACACGGAUUUAGGUUAUCCCCAAUUACACAUUCCAAUGUGGUAACAGUUUACGGGGUUCUCCUAGCAACAGAGCAAAGAAAAUCCUGAGUCAGGACGGUUUUCAGAUGUGUUGGUGGGAACCUUGGGUAGGCAGGUUCCGGCAGAGCAGAGAAGUCACUGUCAUAGGCCUCAGAUGCUCUCCGAUGACACGCUUAGCUUUGGGUAUCUGUUGCAAGUCAAGGGGUUGUUCGUACAUUUCAGAGGGUUUACAUAAUCAUCCCAGGCUGUAAGGCACAGAGGUAAUCAGUAAAUGCUAUUUAGGGGCUGAGCUAGCCCAAGAUAGUUUGUCUAUAGACCUAUGACUUCCAGCUGUUGACAAACAUUGACAAACAAUCUUGGAGAACAUUUGGCAAGGGGGAGGCUUUUUUCCUUGGGGAUGUCAGUUAACCCAUGGAGUUGAGAAAUGGCCACAAGGUAAGUCCUGUGCUUGCCCUGUGCCUGUGAGGUGCGGCCUCUUGCCUGGAGCACAGGCAGCCCCCAACAGCCUUUGAGAUGUGGCCUGUGGUACCUCCUUCAAGCUCAAGAGACAGAGGGUGUGUCUGUGGGGAUCGCUUUUCACAUAUCUAACAGUGGGGAACUUACAGAGCCAGGUUCUGUCUCAGUCAUACCUCCUCUCCAGAGCUGUGAAACGCUAUUUCUGCCAGGAAAGCCUCACACAGAGGGGAUUGCAGAGUUCAGGGCCUAAGUAGGUACAUCCACCGUUAACCAUUGGCUGUAUGAGAUAGCUAUGAGUGUGGCCCACAAAAUGUCUUAUGCUUACUUAAGACAUUAUAAAAAAGUUUUUAUUGUGUUACUGAUUUUUUUUCAAGCUCUCAGAAAUAUUGCUUGUUGUACACAUUCUACCCCAUCGCCCCUACUUCCUCUUUCCUCCUCCCUUUUCCUCUCAUGGGUCCCCUUUACCCCUUAUGUUUGCAUGUAUGGAUGUAUAUAUGAUUUCAUGUAUCUAUACAAAGCCUAAGAACUACAAACAGUCUCUCGUUUGUGAGUUCUCAGUAUGAUAGAUGACUUUCAUGACUAUCUUCAAUUAAAUCCUUUUUUUUUCUGGAAACAAUAUUACCUCAAUAUAACUCCACACAUGUCCGUUGCGUGGAGCCAGACCAUGGCUUGGGAGUUAACAGCACUUGCAGAGGGCCUGGGUUUGAUCUCCAGCACCACAUUGAAUACCUUAAACUGCCUGUAACUGGAUCUGGCGCCCUCUUCUGGCGGCUGUGGAUGUUACACACACUUGGUACACAGACUGCUGAGGAGGAGCAUACACGUAAAUUAAUUUGUUUUUAAUGUGGCCCCAUAGGCAGUACAUCUUCUUUAAUCAUCCCUGUGCUGCCAGAUACCUGGAUUAAUGCCACAGCCACGGCUGUGUGGAUAGUGCCAGGUGUAAGACAGAUAUGCAAGUGUCUUUAUCAAUGUGGAGGCUUUAGGGUAAAUGCCUGGGAGUGUUUUAGCUGGGCAGUGACUUUCCAUAAAUUGAUUGCACAGUCCUCAAGCAUGAACUCUGUAUAUGACAGCUUCUAUCACCGGGUUGAAAGGUUGAACAUUCUUGGAAGCAAGCAAAAGCCGAGAGGGGCUGUCCUCUUUCUGGAAGUGUAGUUGGUUCUUUUG